UACGGGGGGAGCAAGCGUUGUUCGGAUUUACUGGGCGUAAAGAGCUCGUAGGUGGUUUGUCGCGUUGUUCGUGAAAACUUUACAGCUCAACUGUGGGCGUGCGGGCGAUACGGGCAGACUUGAGUACUGCAGGGGAGGACUGGAAUUCCUGGUGUAGCGGUGGAAUGCGCAGAUAUCAGGAGGAACACCGGUGGCGAAGGCGGGUCUCUGGGCCGGAUACUGACGCUGAGGAGCGAAAGCGUGGGGAGCAAACAGGG
rnacentral:rRNA from 1 species